UUAUUGACUUAUUGUUUGUAAAAAGAACGCAUAUGAGGAACUCCCGUGCUCUUGAAUUACAACUGUCACUUAUGUCAAAUCGAUUUCUGGCAACAAAUUGCAACAAUAUUAAAAAUCGAUUUUUACGUCGUUUCAAAAACAACCAAAAUUACACAUCAAAUUCAACGAAACAAAUUCAGAAAAGGAUUAGUCAUGGAUAUUUCAUCUGUUACGAGAAAAAUACCAAAAUUUCUAUGAACCUUGUCGUUUCUAAAAUACCGCGUUCCCAAGCAGCAGAGAUUUUCAAAGCUGGACCUCAAAGUACAGUAUGUAGCAUGAAGAAGUCAGAAAAAAAAGGAAGGAGGAGGAAGAAGAAGGAAGAGGUGGAAGACAAAGGAGGAGAAGGAAGACGAAGAGGGAUAAAACGGUGAAUUUAACCUCAAAUGCACGAUGGUGGACGAUGGUGGACGAACAGCACACUCAGCAUUAAAAUUGCCGUUAAAUGUGCAGGUGAUUGACAAUCCCACAUGCAACAUAUCAAGAAAUUCUGCAAUGGCAAAAGUUUUGCAGCAAGCAGCAAUUAUUCUAUUGGAUGAAUGUACAAUGACCCAUAAAAAAUCUCUGGAAGCAUUAAACAGAACAAUGCAAUAUCUA